GCAUUUGACAAGAUCCAACACCCAUU
rnacentral:piRNA from 1 species